UCGAUCCGUCGGGGCUUGCGUGCUCACGGAAGGGUCUGUCGGCGGCAGGGAUGCGUUUGUUCCUGAGUGCAGCCGCGGUCGAAGGGAGAACUGGGCAAAAGUAGUUCUCAAGGAUGAGUCCGGGAAGUGCCGGGGGCACCUGGUCCGGGGAAAGCAGCGACGGCGGACAAAGAGCCAUCGCAUCCCCUGGGCCGGCGGGUCGGAGCAGCUGCCGUGCUCCCCACGUAGUGCCUGUGCGGCGCCCGAGGGGAAGGGCGGCCCGGCGGCGGUGACCGAGACCAGGAGAGGAGGGAUGCGAGAGGAAGCUGAGCUGGUACUGAACGCUUCGCCUCCGCUCACAGAGCUGUCGGGCAGGCGCGGCGGCAGGGAUUCAUAUAAUGAGGCUUUUAUUAUGGCCAGUGACCCCUUGGAAGGCUUUCAUGAAGUGAACCUCGCUUCGCCUACUACACCAGAUCUUCUUGGAGUAAAUGAGCCAGGGACUCAGGAACAAACUACCUCACCCAGUGUAAUCUACCGACCACAUCCUUCUGUUGUGUCCACACCAAUCCAACCCAAUGCAUUAAAUGUUUCUGACCUUCCUACACAACCUGUUUAUUCAUCUCCCAGACAACUGAAUUGUGGAGAAGUAUCAGGUGUCAGCAUCAAUGUUACCGACACAGUACUUUGUUCUACCUCUGGACCCCAGAGUGGGUCACUCAAUCACAGUAAUGCCAGGAAGGAGAGCAAUAACGUAGAGAGAGAGCUUUUGCAGGGUACUACAGUAGCAGAUGUUGCUGAAGGAAAUGAAGAUAUUUUUGGGUUGAGUACAGACAGUUUAUCUCACUUACGGAGCCCAUCUGUACUGGAAGUAAGAGAAAAGGGCUAUGAACGAUUGAAGGAAGAACUUGCAAAAGCUCAGAGGGAGCUGAAGUUAAAAGAUGAAGAAUGUGAAAGGCUUUCUAAAGUGCGAGAUCAACUUGGACAGGAAUUGGAAGAACUUACAGCUAGUCUGUUUGAGGAAGCACACAAAAUGGUUAAAGAAGCAAAUGUCAAACAAGCUGCUGCAGAGAAACAGUUAAAAGAAGCACAAGGCAAGAUUGAUGUCCUCCAGGCUGAAGUAGCAGCAUUGAAAACACUAGUACUGUCUACUUCACCAACAUCUCCAACUAAGGAGUUCCAGUCUGGUGGAAGAACUCCUUUUAAGAAAGGCCAUGCAAGAAACAAGAGUACAAGCAGUGCUAUGGGUGGCAGUCAUCAGGACCUUACCAUGAUGCAGCCAAUUGUAAAAGACUGUAAAGAGGCUGACCUGUCUCUGUACAAUGACUUCAGAUCUUGGAAGGAUGAGCCUACUAUGGACAGAACAUGUCCUUUCUUGGACAAAAUUUAUCGGGAAGAUAUUUUUCCAUGUUUAACAUUCUCCAAAAGUGAGUUGGCCUCAGCUGUUCUGGAAGCUGUUGAAAACAACACUCUGAGCAUUGAACCUGUUGGCUUGCAACCUGUUCGAUUUGUGAAAGCUUCUGCAGUUGAAUGUGGAGGACCAAAGAAAUGUGCUCUCAGUGGACAAAGUAAGUCAUGCAAGCAUAGAAUCAAAUUAGGAGAUUCAAGCAGUUACUACUACAUUUCUCCUUUCUGUCGUUACAGGAUCACUUCGGUGUGUAACUUCUUUACAUAUAUUCGAUACAUCCAGCAAGGACUGUUGAAGCAGCAAGAUGGUCGUAUCACUCAGGCUCCCAGAAAUACUGAGCACAGAUAGUGGAAAAAGUGUCAUUAGCCCUGUGCCAAUAGUAAAUUAGAAUAUUUGUUUUCACUGUGAAAAUUGGAUCAGAUGUUCUGGGAAGUUAUGCAGCUGAGACGAGAGAUGUCACUAGCAAAACUUGGCUAUUACAAAGAAGAGCUCUAAAACU